rnacentral:misc_RNA from 1 species
GAUGAAGAACGCAGCGAAAUGCGAUAAGUAAUGUGAAUUGCAGAAUUCAGUGAAUCAUCGAAUCUUUGAACGCAUCUUGCGCUCCUUGGUAUUCUGAGGAGCAUGCCUGUUUGAGUGUCAUUAAAUUCUCAACUACACUGACUUUGAAUUGGUGUGGCUUGGAUUUGGGGGGAAAAUUGUUGUGGGCUUUUUGUAUAGUCUGCUCCCCUGAAAUUGAUUAGCGGUACCUUUGUGGAACUGUCUACAGGUGUGAUAAUUAUCUACAUCUUAGACAUCUGCUGGAAUGCUGCUUUCUAAACCUUACUUGUAUUGACAAUCUUGACCUCAAAUCAGGUAGGACUACCCGCUGAACUUAAGCAUAUCAAUAAGCGGAUGA